rnacentral:lncRNA from 1 species
UUGUGGUUUCCCCAGGAGCUGAGGUUGUCUCUGUCUCCUCCCUGUGGCUGGCAGGUGCUACGACAAGCGUCUGUGGCCUCGAAUGGACCUGAGCCGGCGGAAGUCACUGACACCACCCAUGCUCAGUGGGGUGGUUCGCCGCCAGCCCCGUGCCCUGGACCUCAGCUGGACAGGUGUCUCCAAGAAGCAGCUCAUGUGGCUUCUGAACCGACUGCAAGGCCUGCAGGAGUUGGUGCUCUCCGGCUGCUCCUGGCUCUCUGUCUCUGCCCUGGGCUCAGCCCCACUGCCAGCCCUGCGGCUCCUGGACCUGCGCUGGAUUGAGGAUGUUAAGGACUCCCAGCUCCGAGAGCUGCUGUUGCCUCCACCAGACACCAAACCAGGUGGGGCCUCUGUGCUCAUCUGUGGAACAAGUUGGAAAGAUGGGGUAAAGUCCUUUGAGGCCUCUCAUGACUCGUGCUGGAUGUCGAAGGAUUGGAAGAAGGGAAGAGCACAUGAGUUGAAUAGGGAGGCCCUUCCUGGUACUGUUUGUUCAUUCAUUCAUGUGGUGUGCGCUUUGAACUGAGUCUUGAAAGGAUGGUGUUUUCCCAGGGAGUAUGAGGCAUGGUAUGAGCAGAUUGGUGGGGCAGGCGGCCUGUGUUGGCAGAAGAGGGUGCUGGGAGCAGAGGCCUGAGGAGCUUGGGGCUCAUCCGGAGGCGGAGGGAUGGGCAUUGAGGCCACACGAAGCCAGGAGAUGGGAUACCAGCUACAGUCCUCUCUAGCUCUCAGUCUUUUCAUCAUCCAGGAGGGCAUCCCUGCCCAUGUCCACCCUAGUGCUCUAAACUGCCAUUGUCCCUAGUACUCCUUGGAUAAAGACCAGUAUUUUUUUUUAAAUAAAUUUUAUCCCAUUCCCCCCUCAGGCCCCCUCCCCUCCCUAUGCACAGAAGCUUUGUUUCCAUUUUUUCCUUCUAUUUUCACUUUUUUCCUUGUCCCUUCCUUCCUGUCCCCCUCCCUCCUCCUUGUUCCCCUUCCCAUUUGGACACUUUCUUCCCAUUGCCCAACAUCAUUGUGCAUCUCAGUCCUCAUUUCCACUUUCAGUUUCUCGCACCAGAGAAACAAUGCGGUGUUUAAACACCUGCGUCUGACUUAUUGUAAUUAAGAGUAUGCUCUCAAGGUGCGACCAUUUAGCUAGAAAUGUCUGAAGUUCAUCCUUCUUUAUGGCAGAGAAGUGCUCCAUUGUAUAAAAAUCUACAUCUUCUAUAUCCACUCAUCUGUUGAUGGGCAUUUCAGCUGUUUCCAAGAUUUAGCU